rnacentral:rRNA from 1 species
AACGAACGCUGGCGGCAUGCCUAACACAUGCAAGUCGAACGAUCCCUUCGGGGAUAGUGGCGCACGGGUGCGUAACGCGUGGGAACCUGCCCUUAGGUUCGGAAUAACUCAGAGAAAUUUGAGCUAAUACCGGAUAAUGUCUUCGGACCAAAGAUUUAUCGCCUUUGGAUGGGCCCGCGUUGGUUUAGCUAGUUGGUGGGGUAAAGGCCUACCAAGGCGACGAUCCAUAGCUGGUCUGAGAGGAUGAUCAGCCACACUGGGACUGAGACACGGCCCAGACUCCUACGGGAGGCAGCAGUGGGGAAUAUUGGACAAUGGGCGAAAGCCUGAUCCAGCAAUGCCGCGUGAGUGAUGAAGGCCUUAGGGUUGUAAAGCUCUUUUACCCGGGAUGAUAAUGACAGUACCGGGAGAAUAAGCCCCGGCUAACUCCGUG